CCCUAUUGCAUUGUGUCUGACUGAUUUUCAGAGCACCUUCGCUGUUUCUCCCUCUCAUUCUCUUUCUGUAAAAUAUCUAGACAGGAAGGAGGUGGCUGCAGAAGCUGAACAAACAAUCUCAUGUUCUGGCUGCAAUGUCAUCGUUCUCUCCCUAUUCUAGGGGGGUGAAGUUACCCAGGAAGGGAUGCAGAGGAGCUGAAAAAGAAGGGGGGUGUUUCUCCAGAGGCUGCUGCGGUCAGGGGCAGGGACUGCCACCAGAUGUGCCUGCCUUUCUGGGCUUUGACUCGAAAGAGACAGCAGGAGAAAAAAUUGAGAGACAAAAGCCUCGGUUAAAUGAUCAUUUUCUUUAUUUAAUAUGGCAGCAGACACUCUCUGCAUAGGAUCAGCGUGCCGAGCAUGAAGUGGACUUUCCUACUUGCCUGACAGGAGUCAGGCAGAUCCCUGUUUGCUAAAUGAGCAUCCAAGAUGUACUUGCUGAGUAUCCUCCUGAGGAAUCCGGCUCUUCUCCAGUCCGUCAGAAGACAUCAGAGUCCUCGUGUCCUGCGCCUGUGCAAAAGCUGUUUUAUUUACAUGGUGGCUUACACUUAAUGAAUUAUGAGUGUUGAACACUCCUGUAUCAUUGGGAUGAAGCCUACUUAACCACAGCGGAUAUAAUUUUUGAUGUGCUCCUGGAUUUAGUGUAAUGAACUUUGAUACUUUGCUGAAUAGACAUGGAGAGAGUGAACACCCUGUAUUGUUCCUGGUCUCAGUGUGUGCCGUGCUGACAGCCCCUCUACAUCAGCAUUUGAUGGCAAGCAGAAUAAGAAAUUGGGGAGCACUGAGAUGCUUUCGGACCUGAAUUUGAUUCCCCAGAGCUACACUGGGGAACGAGGGAACUGCUGCUGCAUCCUGUUCUCCACCUCCACGGGAGCAUCUGGCCCCGUGAAAACAGAAACUACACACAGAAGUAAGACAACAUUGCCACCAUGCCAUCCAGAGGAAGAUCCAGAAACUGUGUGGCCAUGUGAGCUAUGGCUAGCACUGCCAGCAUGCAGGAGGCCUCUGAAAUGCUAGAAGCAAGAAUCACCAUACGAUCAACUUCAACAAAUACAAUCCAGGUUGCUUUGGGAAAGUUAGAAUGAAGCAUCACAACUUAUGGAGGAAAUGGAUCUUCUGUCCAACUUUGGUCAAUGAGCUGAAGCAAACAAACAAACAAGCAAAACUGGAGCUGCUUUCAUCAUUUGUAUUGUGCAGUUGGGCUACUGCAAAGUUCUGGGGAAGGAAAAAUCUCCUUGCACAGCCUGUCAUCAUGAAGGCAAAUUCUUCAGCAGCAGAGAUGAAGAGAAGAUUAAUGGUGUUGGAGGUGUCUGUGUUCUCAUGGUUUGAAGCCACCUAGGGAGGUUCAUUAAAUGCUAGCAUUAAAAACAAGCAAAUAAAUAAAGAACCAAACAACAACAUCAACAACAAAAGCUUACUACUUUCCUUAAUCGGUAAUGUUGGCAUUAUUUUAGAUUUUCCCUUGCCGUCGAAUAUAUAUUUCCAUUUGUCUUUCUAAAUGAGGAUUGAUCAUCUUACCCCAGGUCCGCUUUCUUGAUUAUCUUCUUUAGGUGUAUAGAUUUCAUUAUGUUUAUCAUAUCUUGUAGGUCUAUAUAAGUGAGUAUAUCCCAUGUUUGUCUUUCAUCUUCUGGGAUAUUUCACUCAGAGACAAAUGGGAUGUGAACUGAACAUAUGACAGGAGUCUACCGCAGAAAGCAUCUGAAAGACUCUACCUAGCAGUGUAUCAAAGCAGAUACUAAGACUCAUGACCAAACCUUUGGCAGAGUACAGGGAAUCAUAGGAAAGAAGGGGAGUUAGUAUGACGUGGAAAGGACAGGAGCUCCACAAGGACCAAAUAUAUCUGGGCACAGGGGUCUUUUCUGAGACUGACACUCCACCAAGGACCAUGUAUGGAUAUAACCUAGAACCUCUGCUCGGAUGUGGCACGUGGUAGCUCAAUAACCAAUUGGUUUCCCAUAGUGAGGGGAACAGGGACUAUUUCUGACAGGAACUCAAUGGCAGGCUCUUUGGUCUCCCCACCCCCCAAGGGAGGAGCAGUCCUGCUAGGCCACAGAGGAGGACUUUGCAGCCAGUCCUGAAGAGACCUGAUAAACUAGGGUCAGAUGAAAGGGGAGGAGGUCCUCCCCAAUCAGUGUACUUGGAAAGUGGCAGAGAGGAGAUGAGAGAGGGAGGGUGGGAUUGGGGAGGAAAUGAGGGAGCAGGAUACAGCUGGCAUACAGAGUUAACAAAAUGUAACUAAGAAAAAUAAAAAUUAUAUAUAUAUAUAUAUUUCCAUUUUAAUUUCAAUUUCUGUUAGGAAUAGCAGAAUCUGUAAUACUAUAUGAGAUGAGUAUGUUUGGUUUUUUAAGUUACUGAAUCACUUGUGCCUUGCCCAAUAUCCCGUAAACACUGUUGAAAGGUUUUUUCUGAGACAGUGUUUCUCUUUGUAGCCUUGGCUCUCCUGGACUUGCUUUGUAGAUCACAGUUGCCUUGAACUCACAGAGAUACUCCUGCCUCUGGCUCUCAGAGUGCUGGGAUUAUAAGCAUCACCACUGUGUCCAGCUAAAUUUUUCUGUACUGUUAACUUGGCAGUUUGCAAGCUCUCAAUUGCAUGCCAAGUAAAAGAUGUAAUAAUUCCAGAGGAUAUUUAUGACCAUAUUUUGAAGUUUACCCCAAAAUAUUAGAAAUCAUCAUCAUCAUCAUCACCACCACCACCACCACCAUCGUCAUUGUUAUUGUGUGUAGAUGACCGUGUGUCUGAAGCCCGGGGUCAGCAUUUGAUCCCUUUCCCAGAUGUUCCCCACCUUCACCUUUUGAGUCUGCAGUUUUCUUUCUUUUUCCUUUUUUACAUUUUAUCUGUUAAUAUUUUUAUUUUUAUUUUUUUAAAUUUUUUAUUUUCUUAAUAUUAGUUAAAGUUUAUUAACUUUGUAUCCCAGCUGUAGCCCGUCCCUCAUUCCCUCCCAAUC